ACGCUGGCGGCGCGCCUAACACAUGCAAGUCGAACGGUUAAAGCACCUUUUAGGUGUGUAUAAAGUGGCGAACGGCUGAGUAACACGUGGGCAACCUGCCCUCCUCUUGGGGAUAGCUUCGGGAAACCGAGGAUAAUACCCGAUACUUCAAUGUGGCCGCAUGACGACAUUGAGAAAGCUUUUGCGGAGAAGGAUGGGCCCGCGGCCUGUUAGCUUGUUGGUGGGGUAGAGGCCUACCAAGGCAAUGAUGGGUAGCUGGGUUGAGAGACCGACCAGCCAGAUUGGGACUGAGACACGGCCCAGACUCCUACGGGAGGCAGCAGUGGGGAAUCUUGCACAAUGGGCGAAAGCCUGAUGCAGCGACGCCGCGUGCGGGACGAAGGCCUUCGGGUUGUAAACCGCUUUCAGCAGGGACGAGGCGAUAAGUGACGGUACCUGCAGAAGAAGCCCCGGCUAACUACGUGCCAGCAGCCGCGGUAAUACGUAGGGGGCAAGCGUUAUCCGGAUUCAUUGGGCGUAAAGCACUCGUAGGCGGUCUGUUAGGUCGGGAGUUAAAUCCGGAGGCUCAACCUCCGCCCGCUCCCGAUACCGGCAGACUUGAGUUUGGUAGGGAAAGGUGGAAUUCCUAGUGUAGCGGUGGAAUGCGCAGAUAUUAGGAAGAACACCAGUGGCGAAGGCGGCCUUCUGGGCCAUAACUGACGCUGAGGAGCGAAAGCUAGGGGAGCAAACAGGAUUAGAUACCCUGGUAGUCCUAGCUGUAAACGAUGGACACUAGGUGUGGGAGAAUACGUCUUCCGUGCCGCAGCUAACGCAUUAAGUGCCCCGCCUGGGGAGUACGGCCGCAAGGCUAAAACUCAAAGGAAUUGACGGGGACCCGCACAAGCAGCGGAGCAUGUGGUUUA
rnacentral:rRNA from 1 species